rnacentral:rRNA from 1 species
GAUGAACGCUGGCGGCGUGCUUAACACAUGCAAGUCGAACGGGAAUUACUUUACUGAAACUUCGGUCGUUUUAAUUUAAUUCUAGUGGCGGACGGGUGAGUAACGCGUGGGUAACCUGCCUUAUACAGGGGGAUACCAGUCAGAAAUGACUGCUAAUACCGCAUAAGCGCACAGCGCUGCAUGGCUCAGUGCGACAAACUCCGGUGGUAUAGGAUGGACCCGCGUUGGCUUAGCUAGUUGGUGAGGUAACGGCCCACCAAGGCGACGAUCCAUAGCCGGCCUGAGAGGGUGAACGGCCACAUUGGGACUGAGACACGGCCCAGACUCCUACGGGAGGCAGCAGUGGGGAAUAUUGCACAAUGGGGGAAACCCUGAUGCAUCGACGCCGCGUGAAGGAAGAAGUAUCUCGGUAUGUAAACUUCUAUCAGCAGGGAAGAAUUAGGACGGUACCUGACUAAGAAGCCCCGGCUAACUACGUGCCAGCCGCCGCGGUAAUAC